rnacentral:lncRNA from 1 species
UGUCUCACUAUGUCUUCUUAUGAACUUUCAACUCCAUUGCCAUGUGCACUCAAGGACCACAAUAUGCACCACCUUAGCCUCUCCUUAUACCAUAGGGCCUUCAAGAUCUUGUUUCAGGUGCUAGGCUAAUCCCGGUAGUACAAUCUGCUUAGGUUGUUGUAUCUUGGGAGACAGAUGAGUUUACCUGGGUAGCCCGAAAUUUGUUUUAAG